UGCGAGAAGCACCUUCGGGUGCGAGUAGAGCGGCGGACGGGUGAGUAACGCGUAGGAAUCUACCUAGUAGAAGGGGAUAGCCCGGGGAAACUCGGAUUAAUACCGUAUACCUCCUUUGGGAGAAAGAGGGCUUAGCUUUGAUGCUCUCGCUAUUAGAUGAGCCUGCCUAAGAUUAGCUUGUUGGUGAGGUAAAGGCUCACCAAGGCGACGAUCUUUAGCUGGUCUGAGAGGACGAUCAGCCACAUUGGGACUGAGACACGGCCCAGACUCCUACGGGAGGCAGCAGUGGGGAAUAUUGGACAAUGGGCGCAAGCCUGAUCCAGCCAUACCGCGUGUGUGAAGAAGGCUUUCGGGUUGUAAAGCACUUUAAGUAAGGAGGAAAAGAUUGUAGUUAAUACCUGCAAUCCGUGACGUUACUUACAGAAUAAGGACCGGCUAAUUCCGUGCC
rnacentral:rRNA from 1 species